rnacentral:lncRNA from 1 species
UGAAGAACACAAACAAAGUAAAUAUAAAGUAUUUUUAAUAAAUAAUAAUUUACAACAAAAGUAUAAAAGACACCUCAGGCCAGGUGGCUCACGCCUGUAAUUCCAGCAUUUUGGGAGGCUGAGGCGGAAGAUAGUCACAGUUUCCAUACAUGGAGAAUGAAUAUAGCCCAGAGCAUGAGGUAACUGCAGACUGCUUAAGAACAUCAGGGUUACACAGUCUUUUUUUAAGGUCACAAUCACAUUGCUGAAAGGAAAAGAAUGAGAGGGUCACAAUUUACUGGAUUCCAUUUCUGUUUUUUAAUUAUUCAUUCAGUAACUCAAUCAACAUUGUUUCCUUUAGUCAAUUAGAAACAUUCUUUUUCUAACACUGAGGACGAAGCUCAAAGCUUCAUGCAACACCACUCCAAGGACAACCAAAACAUUUAAAAUAUCUUCAUGGGUAGUAAAAACAUGUCAUAUAAGUAUAAAUCUGAUUUUUGUAAAGAGGCAUGAGUUACUGAGCCCAGCUUCUCACCUGAAGUGCUGUGAUUACUUGGUUAUGAGUAGAUCAUUUUGCCAAGCAUUAUCUGGUUAGAUUCAGUGACUACCAUUCUCUCUGAGGAGGGCAAGAUUAUCUAAAAUUAUGCCGUGCUCCCCAGACAUAGGCUAAAACAUGACUUCAUUCUUAAAGUUCAAUACUAACUUAAGAUAUUGAGCAGGUGUUAUAAUACAAGCCAUAGUUCACUUCUACGUAUCUCUAGAGCACUGUCCUUGGACACUGAAACCCAAGGUUCUAUAUACUUGUUUAUAGAAAGCGUAUAGUCAACAAUUUCAAUGUAAACAUCUAAUUUCAAGCAACGUGUUCACAGAUGUUCUUGUGAGUAUGGUGGUGACUAUCCCCACCUGUCAAGUAACAUGCUUUUCUUAUAAUUUCCCAUAUAUUUACUUUUGUGAAAAGGAACUGAUAAGAAAAAAGAAUUGUCAAAAAUAUGGGACUACUUUUUGUUAGAUACGAUAAAAUGUAUUAAGUUUACUUAAACUAAAUGUUAAGAUUUGAUCAGUUAUAAUUUUAUUUCUCUAAGCCAUUUAUGGUUUUAAAUAUAUAUCUUUUUAAAGUAAAUAUAAAUCACAAAAAUGCACUGUAGAUUUUAGACUACUAUUUUAAGAAUUUAGCAAAACAUAUGCUGGUAAAAUUACAUAAAGCCAAAGUACUAAACAAAAACAUAUAGCAAGCUGUUUUCAAUUAGCUUUCUAUUAAUAUAGAGAUAAAUCAUCAGUGCUGAAAUUCAAAACAUUAAAACAGAAAAAAAGUAACAACAAGUGACAUUUUAGCCUAUGGGUAAAAGAAUAAUCUCACUCCUACUGUCUUAUUUUAAUAAGUCUCUAUUUUUCAUGCUGUUUUACUAUUUUUCACUUUUCUUUGUUCUUUCAUUCAGAAUUUUAUAUUGUGCUUGAAGAGUUAGUAGUAAUUCUGUAUUAAAAGUACGGUAAAGUAAUAGACUCUUGAAUGAUUUGGGAAAUAACAAAGUGAAAAUUAAAUAGACAUGUAAAACUACAGAUUUUCACUUUCCCUCCAGCCCAAUUUUCUAAAAAACUUCAAUAUAGUCAGCAUGUCUCAAUAAUACUCUGACUCAAAAGAAAUAAUAUAUUACUGCUUGUUGCUUUGAUCAAAGGCAAUGCAGCAUACUAUAAUUUUAAAAACAUAAAAGUUGAGACCCAAAAAUAAAAGGACCAUAUUAGACCUUGUCCAAUCCUGGAUUUCUAAAGAGCAGCAUCAUGGCCACAAGCGAGUUACACACGUGACCAGAGAAUUAGAAAAUGCUAACUUCAAAUAAAAGUCAUUUAUUCAGGAUGUGGGCCUUAGUAAUUUUGAAGCCAUUUUAUGUAGAAAUAACUACAUAAAAUAACUUGGUCGGGCAUGGUAGCUCACACCUGUAGUCCCAGCGAUAUGGGAGGCAGAGGUGGGAUGAUCGCUUGAGUGCAGGAGUUUGAGACCAGCCUUGGCAACAUGGUGAAACCCCAUCUCUAUUAAAAAUACAAAAAUUAGACGGGUGUGGUGGCACGCACCUGUAAUCCCAGCUACCUAGGAGGCUGAGGCGGAAGGAUGGCUUGAAGUUGGGGCUGUAGUGAGCUGAGAUUGCACGACUGCAUUCCAGACUGGGUGACAGAGUGAAGACUGUCUCAAAAAAAAAAAAAAAAAAAAAAAAAGCUAACGACUAGUUAUUCUUCAUCUCUACUACAGCCAAGAAAUAGGACAACAGAUUUAGGCUAACUACAGGAAAGCAUUUCUAUAGUGUGCUAAACACGAGAAUAGGCUUCUAAAGGAGACUGGAAUUUUCUUGUGUCAAGGACUUUAAAAGUAUACAUUCUAAUCCUUCAGGAAAACUUUCUUUGAAGGCAGGAGAAAGGACGUGUGACAGUCCUUCUCAUCUUAAAAUACAACUCACCUUGAAUCCAUGUAUUUAUCUAAUAUCAUGUCAUGCUUUUUGUAUUUAUGUUUCAUAAUUUACAAUUUAUCUAAGAGGAGUAUACAAAUAAUGAAGUAUUCCAGAUUUGAUAUGGAAGAGCGGUAAUAAAAACAAUGAGAGUAAUCAUAUGAAUAGGGUGCAGUACUGCAAGAGAAAAGGAAUAAAAUAUGAAAACUCUUAAGAAAACAAAAAUAUUAUAAUUCUGUAUCAUAACAACUCUUUAGGUAAGUUUUAAAAUAUAGCAUCUUCUAAUAAGACAGUAUGUAUACAGACUAUGAAUAAUAAACUUCCUAAAAUUGCUGUAGCAGAAUGAUAUGUUUUAUUUCAUUUAUUCACUUAACUUCACUCUGUUGCUUCACCAUAUUAAACAAGACCCUGUUGUUUUGUUUUGUUUCCCAAAUGAGGAAGAAGGAACAUAUAUGGAGAAAAUAAAGCACGUAAUUUAUUGAGGAAGAAACGUGGGCUUUAGAAAUAUUACCACUAUAAAAAUUAUCUUUGCUUAGACUGCCAAAUCAGAUUUUAAUUGGACCUUCAUGAAAUGAUCAAAGUUAACAUUGCCAUUAAUGGGGCAAACCAACAUCCUGUGAUUUCUGAUAUGAUGUACUAAACAGGACAUGAUACCACUUUUUUGGUAUUCCUGGCAAAAAAGAAAGAAAGAAAUACACAACCUGAUUCCAAUCAUGAAGAAACAUUAGACAAACCCAAAUUGAGGCACACAGUAUAAAACAACCAGGCUAUACCUUAAAAAAUAUCAAGGUAAUGAAAGACAAAUAAAAACUGAGAUACUGCUCUAUAUUAAAGGAAACUUAAAAAGACAUGACAACUAACUGCAGUAU